GGGGCAGAUAGAUUAAGACAGGGGCUGCUAACUUUUGUUUGAGCGGUUUGAUUCCGUUCUUGCCUUU
rnacentral:tRNA from 1 species